rnacentral:rRNA from 1 species
UACGUAGGGUGCGAGCGUUAAUCGGAAUUACUGGGCGUAAAGCGUGCGCAGGCGGUUUCACAAGCUCGAUGUGAAAGCCCCGGGCUCAACCUGGGAAUUGCAUUCGAGACUGCGUAGCUAGGGUGCGGAAGAGGGAAGCGGAAUUUCCGGUGUAGCGGUGAAAUGCGUAGAUAUCAGGAGGAACACCAAUGGCGAAGGCGGCUCACUGGCCCGGUACUGACGCUGAGGUGCGAAAGCGUGGGGAGCAAACAGG